rnacentral:rRNA from 1 species
CCCUUAGCUGUUCUGGGCCGCACGCGCGCUACACUGUUCGACGCAGCGAGUCUUAACCUUGACCGAAAGGUUUGGGUAAUCUUCAGCAAAGUCGAACGUGAUGGGGAUCGAUCAUUGCAAUUAUUGAUCGUGAACGAGGAAUUCCUAGUAAGUGCAAGUCAUCAGCUUGCGCUGAUUACGUCCCUGCCCUUUGUACACACCGCCCGUCGCUACUACCGAUUGAAUGGUUUAGUGAGAUCUCUGGAUUGACGCUGGCUAGGGGGCGACCCUUGGCCAGACUGUUGAGAAACUGCUCAAACUUGAUCAUUUAGAGGAAGUAAAAGUCGUAACA